rnacentral:rRNA from 1 species
UAUCUCUGUAGAGUCUGCAUAUCAAUAAGCGGAGGAAAAGAAACUAACAAGGAUUCCCCUAGUAACGGCGAGUGAAGCGGGAAGAGCUCAAAUUUGAAAUCUUCAAGGUUUGACCUUGACGAAUUGUAGUUUAAAGAAGUGUUUUCGGUUAGAGGAGUAGUAAAAGUUCUUUGGAAUAGGACAUCAUAGAGGGUGAGAAUCCCGUAUUUGACUAUUCUUUCUAGCUUUGUGAUACACUUUCAAAGAGUCGGAUUGUUUGGGAAUGCAGUCCAAAAUGGGUGGUAAAUUUCAUCUAAAGCUAAAUAUUGGCGAGAGACCGAUAGCGAACAAGUACCGUGAGGGAAAGAUGAAAAGAACUUUGAAAAGAGAGUUAAACAGUACGUGAAAUUGUCAAAAGGGAAGCGUUUGACACCAGUGUUGUUUUUCCGAAAAUCAAUUAAAAAUUGAUUCAUGCCAGGUUGUAUUGACCUUAUCAGCUUGCAAUUUGGUUUUGGGUCUCUUUUUGAUGCACUUUUCGGUUAACAAGUCAACAUCAAUUUCCUUUGCCGUAAAAAGGUAAGAGGAAGGUGGCUUCAAUUUCGGUUGAAGUGUUUAUAGCCUUUUAUCUCUGCAGUCGGGGAGAUUGAGGUCUGCAGCGUAGAUCCUUCGGGGCUAGAUACAUUUAUGCUAAGUUAUAGCUUUUCAUAGACAACUUGUUGACUAUGUUUAGUCAUGUAGCUUACUCGUAAGUGCUAUUUUACCUACGCUUAGGAUGUUGAAGACUCUACAGAGAUA